rnacentral:rRNA from 1 species
CCUACGGGAGGCAGCAGUGAGGAAUAUUGGUCAAUGGACGAGAGUCUGAACCAGCCACGCAGCGUGAAGGAUGAAUGCCCUAUGGGUUGUAAACUUCUUUUAUAGGGGAAUAAAAUGUUACACGUGUGGGAUUUUGUAUGGACCAUAUGAAUAAGGAACGGCUAACUCCGCGCCAGCAGCCGUGGUAAUACGGAGGAUCCGAGCGUUAUCCGGAUUUAUUGGGGUUAAAGGGAGCGUAGGGUGAUUGGUAAGUCAGUUGUGAAAGUUUUCGGCUCAACCGUAGAAUUGCAUUGGAAACUGGCAGUCUUGAGUGCAGUAGAGGUGAGCGGAAUUCGUGGUGUAGCGGUGAAAUGCGUAGAUAUCACGAAGAACACCGAUGGCGAAGGCAGCUCACUGGACUGCAACUGACGCUGAGGCUCGAAAGUGUGGGUAGCAAACAGGAUUAGAUACCCUGGUAGUC